rnacentral:rRNA from 1 species
GCAAUCGCCCUUCGGGGUGCACCAGGCGCGAAAACUUUACAAUGCCGGCAACGGCGAUAAGGGAACCUCGAGUGCCAGGUUACAAAUCUGGCUGUCGUGAUGCCUAAAAAGCAUUGCAUAGCAAGGGCCGGGCAAGACCGGUGCCAGCCGCCGCGGUAACACCGGCGGCUCGAGUGGUAACCGUUAUUAUUGGGUCUAAAGGGUCUGUAGCCGGCCGGGUAAGUCUCUUGGGAAAUCUGGCAGCUUAACUGUCAGGCUUUCAGGAGAUACUGCCUGGCUCGAGGCCGGGAGAGGUGAGAGGUACUUCAGGGGUAGGGGUGAAAUCUUGUAAUCCUUGAAGGACCACCAGUGGCGAAGGCGUCUCACCAGAACGGACCUGACGGCAAGGGACGAAAGCUAGGGGCACGAACCGGAUUAGAUACCCGGGUAGUCCUAGCCGUAAACGAUACUCGCUAGGUGUCGGCCACGGUGCGACCGUGGUCGGUGCCGUAGGGAAGCCGUGAAGCGAGCCACCUGGGAAGUACGGCCGCAAGGCUGAAACUUAAAGGAAUUGGCGGGGGAGCAC